rnacentral:rRNA from 1 species
AACGAACGCUGGCGGCAGGCUUAACACAUGCAAGUCGAACGCAUCCUUCGGGGUGAGUGGCAGACGGGUGAGUAACGCGUGGGAACGUGCCCUUCAGUUCGGAAUAACCCAGGGAAACUUGGGCUAAUACCGGAUACGUGCGAGAGCAGAAAGAUUUAUCGCUGAAGGAUCGGCCCGCGUCUGAUUAGCUAGUUGGUGAGGUAAUGGCUCACCAAGGCGACGAUCAGUAGCUGGUCUGAGAGGAUGAUCAGCCACAUUGGGACUGAGACACGGCCCAAACUCCUACGGGAGGCAGCAGUGGGGAAUAUUGGACAAUGGGCGCAAGCCUGAUCCAGCCAUGCCGCGUGAGUGAUGAAGGCCUUAGGGUUGUAAAGCUCUUUCGUCCGGGACGAUAAUGACGGUACCGGAAGAAGAAGCCCCGGCUAUCUUCGUGCCAGCCGCCGCCGUAACAC